rnacentral:tRNA from 1 species
UUGGAAUGAAAUCUUUUGAUAUUUCUUUUACAAGGAAAAUAGGCUUAUAGGCCAUUCUGAU